rnacentral:misc_RNA from 1 species
GUACAUUAGUGCUUGCGCACGACAAUAAAUUUCAUUACAUUCGAGUGUGUAUAAAAAUCCUCUGCCGGCCGAAGCUAGCAAGAGGCCAAAGGUGCACAGGGUAUUGGAUGAAAAAGUCACCGACGUGCACUUGCCGAAGCCAGCACUGAAGGCGACGAUUCGCAAUCAUUAAUGAUCCUUCCGCAGGUUCACCUACGGAAA